CCGCGCCCGCACCACGCCCGCACCGCCCGGGCACCGCGAGGCUCGGACCGGGGCUGGGCACGGGCUGGGGAUGGGGAUGGACCUGGGAAAGGUGUGAACGGAUUUUUGGAAGGAAACGUCUAAAUUGGAUGAAAAACCUUUAAUGCCGACAGCCGGAGCAGCUGGAAGGACAAAUAUAGCCGGAGAGGAGGAGGAGGAGGAGGAGGAGGAGGAGGACGGGGACGCGGUGGGAGGUGGUGGCCGUGCCGAGAGCGACACCUGGUGACAGCCACCCCCCCCCCCGGGCCACGUGUGAACACGCGUGUGCCACCCCAGGUGUGGGCACACCUUGGCACACCCUUCCAGCCGGGAUUUCCAGCGAGGCAGGCUCAGGGUGGAAAUCCCGAGGGAUGAGGGUGUCCCUCGGGGAUCUGCUCCAUGGGAAGGCUUCGUCCUUCAUCCUCAUCCUCAUCAUCCUCAUCCUCAUUCCACAUCCAUCCCCAUUCCCGGAGCAGCCCCGGGACGCUCCGGACAUCCCAACCCCGACGCUUUGAGGGCACUGCGGGGAUGAUGAUGAUGAUGAUGAUGAUGAAGAGCUGUGCCAGACCCUACAUUUGGAGCCGAGAAUGUCGGGAUGAAGCAGCCAGGAAUGUCGGGAUGGAGCAGAGCAGAAUCCAAGCGGGAAGAACCCAACGCUGGAGAUUUACAGCUCCGGCUCCGGGCAGCCCCCGGCCAUUUGGCACGGCAGCUGCUGCCGAGCAAGUUCAAUGCCAAAAUAAAUUAAAUGGGAUAAAA